rnacentral:lncRNA from 1 species
GCACAUGAACUUCUAAAGAGUUCACUCUAAAGAAGGCUAAGCAUGUACACCAUAGCAACCCCACUCCUACAAACCUAAAAACUACAGACCAGGAACACAUCUGACCGCUCCAUGCCUUUUAAUCUAUCUUCCAUGAGGACUCCCAUGGCUUUUUGACACCAUCAAGCAUGAUGCUUACUGUACCUCCCAGAACUACAUGCCUGAAAUCCACAGUUAAAUCCAAUAUCAACAUUCUGGUUUUAAGCUAGGACCCAAUGGGAUAAACAUUGCACAGUACAUUAACACAUGAAAAAUAAAGAUUGUGUUACUAGCUAUCUCAGGCCUUGCUCACAAUUUCAGCAUUUAUUUCCCGGUCCUUUCAAGAACUAAACAAAAGUUGAAAACCGAGGUCAAGGCUUCCUUUCAAUCCCAACUACUAAGCUAGAAACAUUUCUAAAAAGGGCAAGCUACGCCCCUCUUCUAGAUAUAUCAAAAUAGUAUGGAAUUUGUUCAAACAUAACAAUACUAACUAUUAAGCUUAACCAUGGCUAGAUAAUAUUGCAGAAAUAAACAAAUGAUUUACCAUGGUCAGCUACACAGUUGCCCAAAAUCUGUGUCUGCUGGACAUCUAGGCCAUGGGCACCAUCCUAUGCCUUGCAGUUAUGGUGGAGAGGGGUGUAGGCAAGGAAGUCCCUGUGAUGCAAGUGAGGAAAGCCGGUGAUGGUGCACGUGAGGAACCUACUUGCUGCUGCGAGAGUUGCUGCCACACACCUUUCCUGCAUAAGAACCACACCAGCCACUGUGCCAACCUUGCCUCCGCCGCUAGACAAUACUGUAGUAAGUUCAGUAAAUGACACGAGUUCAGUAAAAUAGCCUAGAUGUAAACAAGAUAUUUGUUAUAUGGAUGGGCACAAUUGCACUUGAUCGUACCAUAGAACACACAAAUAUGAAUGGUUAGGAUUUAGGAAACAAAACCAUAAAGUUCAGACAGUAAGGCAGACCUGACAACAAGUAGCGAUGCAUGGAUGACAUAUGCUCCUCGCUUGGCACAUGUUCUGUAGCUGACCUUUCCUUGGCAUGGCCACCAGCCUUGUAUAGACGCACGCAGGCCAUUGACUGAUAGCCUCUGAUAUCACCCAACCGCAGGAGAUUGCCUAUCAUUGAGCAAAAAGAUAGUAAAAAAGUACAGACACAUUUAGCAAAUAAAUAAAGAUUUGUCUUGGCAACGCUCGAGUAAUCAGAAAGGGAUAUUGCAAAAUGCAGAAGCUUCAUGUUUUGGCGUCACUUAUUUUGGUAGGGCUAUAUUGUAGGUGUAGAGUAAUUAGAUCCAAAGAUUACAAUAACUAGUUGUAUUACAAAUUUCUAAUGCAACUGCUCCUUCUAAUCUACCUGUGCCAUUUCAUAGGUGCAGUAUCGGAUGAAUUCAAGCCAUAAGAUAAGAAAAAAGAUUGCAACAAAGCUCACUCACCUACUUGUACAUGAAAGCAUGCAUAUAAUCAGGUUUCUAAGCUAACCCAGUAACUGUAGAGUUGUCUUUUUAGCCUUCCCGUCUAAGAGCUGUUCAGCCUUAUAAUUU